rnacentral:sRNA from 12 species
CUUGAGCCGAGGGGCGAUGCGGAAACGGCAGGAAUGCGCAUUCCGGAAACGACAGCAGCAGAGCCCGCUAUACGUGAAGGAUUGGCUGAAGCGUAUUGAAAUACUGAGCCUCCAGCAAGAGGCAGCCAAGCAAGUAGCAUA